rnacentral:RNase_P_RNA from 1 species
CGGGCUGGUCGGGCGGUUGCGGCGUGAAAGCGUCGAGGAAAGUCCGCACUUCGUAGGGCAUGGUGCCGUGGAAAGCACGGGAUGGAGAGAUCUAUCGGAUCGGGUCACAGAAAAUAACCACUCUCUCGCGAGAGUAAGGGUGAAAAGGCGGUGUAAGAGACCACCAGCAUGUGCAGCAAUGUGCAUGGCUAGAUAACCCCCACCAGAAGCAAGGUCAAGCAGAGACGAUGAGCUGCCCGCUCCCUAAGUCUCAGGUAGACUGCAUAGAUAGAUAAUCGCCAAGGGGAUGAAAAUCCCUGAACAAGAUGCGGCUUAUAGACCAGUCUGAGGU